rfam:Cricetulus griseus cell line CHO-K1, whole genome shotgun sequence.
UAGCUCAGUCAGUAGAGCAUGAGACUCUUAAUCUCAGGGUUAUGGGUUCAAGCCCAC